UACGUAGGGGGCAAGCGUUGUCCGGAUUUAUUGGGCGUAAAGAGCGUGUAGGCGGCCAGGUAGGUCAGCUGUGAAAACUCGAGGCUCAACCUCGAGACGCCGGUUGAAACCAUCUGGCUAGAGUCCGGAAGAGGAGAGUGGAAUUCCUGGUGUAGCGGUGAAAUGCGCAGAUAUCAGGAAGAACACCCGUGGCUAAAGCGGCUCUCUAGUACGGUACUGACGCUGAGACGCGAAAGCGUGGGGAGCGAACAGG
rnacentral:rRNA from 1 species